UACGUAGGGGGCAAGCGUUGUCCGGAUUUAUUGGGCGUAAAGAGCGUGUAGGCGGCCAUACAGGUCCGUUGUGAAAACUGGAGGCUUAACCUCCAGACGUCGAUGGAAACCGUAUGGCUAGAGUCCGGAAGAGGAGAGUGGAAUUCCUGGUGUAGCGGUGAAAUGCGCAGAUAUCAGGAAGAACACCCGUGGCGAAGGCGGCUCACUGGCCCGGUACUGACGCUGAGGUGCGAAAGCGUGGGGAGCGAACAGG
rnacentral:rRNA from 1 species